rnacentral:rRNA from 1 species
GACGAACGCUGGCGGCGUGCUUAACACAUGCAAGUCGAACGGAAAGGCCCUGCUUGCCGGGUACUCGAGUGGCGAACGGGUGAGUAACACGUGGGUGAUCUGCCCUGCACUUCGGGAUAAGCUUGGGAAACUGGGUCUAAUACCGGAUAGGAGCCAUCUUUAGUGUGGUGGUUGGAAAGUUUUUUCGGUGUAGGAUGAGCUCGCGGCCUAUCAGCUUGUUGGUGGGGUAAUGGCCUACCAAGGCGGCGACGGGUAGCCGGCCUGGGAGGGUGUCCGGCCACAUUGGGACUGAGAGACGGCCCAGACUCCUACGGGAGGCAGCAGUGGGGAAUAUUGCACAAUGGGCGCAAGCCUGAUGCAGCGACGCCGCGGGGGGGAUGAAGGCCUUCGGGUUGUAAACUCCUUUCGCUAGGGACGAAGCUUUUUGUGACGGUACCUAGAUAAGAAGCACCGGCUAACUACGUG